CUACGGGAGGCUGCAGCCGAGAAUAUUCCGCAAUGGACGAAAGUCUGACGGAGCGACGCCGCGUGCAGGAAGAAGGCCCUCGGGUUGUAAACUGCUGUCACACGUUAAGAACCGUUACGGUCUACCGUAACCUGACAAAAGCGUGAGAGGAAGUCACGGCUAACUUCGUGCCAGCAGCCGCGGUAAAACGAAGGUGGCUAGCGUUGUUCGGAAUUACUGGGCAUAAAGCGCACGUAGGUGGUUGCGUAUGUCGAUGGUGAAAUCCUACGGCUCAACUGUAGAACUGCCAUCGAAACUACGUAGCUAGAGGACAGGAGGGGAGAGUGGAAUUCCUAGUGUACGGGUGAAAUGCGUAGAUAUUAGGAGGAACGCGGUGGCGAAAGCGACUCUCUGGACUGUUUCUGACACUGAGGUGCGAAAGCUAGGGGAGCAAACAGGAUUAGAUACCCUGGUAGUCCUAGCUGUAAACGAUGGGCACUAGGCAGGGGAGGUUCCGAUACCAUCCUUGCCGUAGCUAAUGCGUUAAGUGCCCCGCUGGGGAGUAUGGUCGCAAGGCUAAAACUCAAAGGAAUUGACGG
rnacentral:rRNA from 1 species